GUUGUUUGAUGACCCUUAGUGGUCUAUGGGAUGUAGUAUAAAUAGGGGAGGUGCUGCCCGUUUUCUCGUAGGAUAUGUUGUUAGUAAAAUAUGAUGGUUGCAACAUUUAUAAUGAUGACAGUAUCGUUUUACUUAUUGUAGACUCAAGAAAAUUGUGUUAAGCUAGGUGGUUGAUUGAAGAGGAGAUUACAAGUCUUGAGAUACAGGUUGACGGCCCACUCAGUAGGAUACCAGCUCAGCAGACAGUGUUGUUGCACUCCACUUGUUCCAAAGUUGCCUUGUGAGUCAGUAUGAUUAUAUGUAUGCACAUGUAUUGGUAUGGCGGGGCCCUAUCCCAAUUACGUUAUGUCAUGUACUCUAGUAGAGGCUUGUAGAUAGUUAUGUACAGUCAAAUGUUGUAUGGCCUUGUCGGCUUAUGUACUAUUGCAUAGAUGUAUAUGACGGCCCUGUCGGCCCGUCCAGUAUGUCCAACUUGUUAUGUAGUUAUGUCCUUUCAGAACUGUUUUAUUUCAGUCUAUCAUUUCUGUGAGUCA